UUAUACAGUUCUCUAGCGUCACUAUCUUAGACACGUGAUUAAACCAGUGUUUACUUUAAGUGAUGCAACACUUCAUCUUUAUGUAAUUGCAAAAGUAACAGGAUGUAACUUGUGAAUUAUUUUACAUCGAUUUGGAUUUUGGUGGCUUAUAAAAGGUAACGUUAAGCAAACGUUUAGCUAAUUAAAGUGUAUUGUUGUGUUCGAAGAACGUGACUAUUCGACUUAAUGAGGUUAUUUAUCUUAAUACAGCUACUGAAUGUGGCGUACGGUUGCGUGGACUUCUGGAAAAAAUGGACAGGGUAUCGAUGCAUAAAUUCGAAAGACAUCAAUUCCGAAACUAGAUGCUACAUGACAGAGAAGCUAUCUUAUGCUCAAAUUAUUCGCAGUUAUUUCUAUGUGUUUUGUAAAAACGAAACUAUUUAUGGGCAGUUAAUGCGAUGUUUAGAAGCUGAAAGUACAAAUCACGUUUAUAUUAAUGAUUGUUAUAUGUCGGAGUUUGAUGUGGGACAAUUUGUGUCGGGGGUGAAAGUUAUCGACGUCCUCGUUAACCUCGAGUCGACUGUUAUGAAUAAUUUCGUUAGUGCUACGUUUAAUGAUAUUCCCACUCUAAGAACAAUAACAUUGACUGGUUUAAGAACUUCGGGCGUGUUAAAUGUGACCUUUGAAAAUGUUUCUUCCGUUGCGUAUCUCAACAUCGAGAAUUACGAGUUUGGGACCUUUAUGCCGAGACCCUUUCAAAAUUUAUCCAGUCUUUUAACAUUAAGUCUGAAAAAUGGAGUUUUAGAAACGUUACCGAGCCAAGUAUUUCAGGGACUUUAUAAUUUGAAUAUACUGAACCUGAGCAACAAUCAAAUGGAAGAAAUCGAUCCGCUCCUUCUCAAGAAUCUCACUGAAUUGCAAGUUUUGGAUUUAUCUGGAAAUAAACUGAUAAAUUUACCGAGUGACUUGCUGUCCGAUCUGUCGAAUUUGAUCUCAUUUUUCGUUCAGGAAAAUAGAUUAACUGCACUUCCUGAUAAUUUAUUCGCUGCCUGCCCAAAAUUAGAGGUUUUUUCCGUAAGCUAUAAUCAGAUAGGACGGUUUCCUCCUGGAUUCUUCGCCGGUUUGCGAAACUUGAAACAUUUCGCUGCUAUAAACUGCAGUUUAAUGCACUUGGAAAUAGGAAUAUUUUCUGACGCAACAAACUUAACAGGAGUCUUUCUUACAACCAAUGAAAUUGUCAAUUUACCGCCAGAUCUUUUUAAAAAUAGCAAGAAUUUAGAAAAACUUUACAUAGGAGUGAAUAAAAUACAGGACCUUCCUCCGGGCAUCUUCGAUGAUCUCAUCAAUUUUCAAUACAUCCAAUUAACGUUUAAUCGUUUGCAAACACUUCCCACAAAUGUUUUUCAGAAUUUAUCGUCUUUAGAAGUUCUUGAAUUGGGAUUCAAUCGCCUCACUCACUUACCCGAAGACGUCUUUCUUCCACUUAUUAACUUACGAGUCCUCGACAUAUCUCAUAGUUCUUUCCUUAGACUUUCCGUUAAACAACCUUUCGGCAGAAGUAAGCAUUUGACUAAGAUUUCUGCCAAAUUUUCAAAUUUCCUGGCCUGGCCAAUGAUAAAUUGGACGGAGCAUAGCUUGACUUCCGUUGAUUUCUCUAGAAGUAAUUUUAGUAACGUGACAUUAUCGCUGCAUACUCCUAACCGAGCCAUCGUUGACCUGUCCGAGAGUAAUAUAAGGACCAUAUACAUCGAUACCCGUGAAUACGGAUCUAAUUUCACUACUUACGAUUUGAGGAACAGCAAGAUUAUCUGCGAUUGCAAUCUUCGCCAAUUUGUCGACUUUCUAAACGUAAAUUUAUUGACGGCAUCCAAAAUUUUUCCAAAUCUUACCAAUUUAGAGUGCUACGAGGAGAAGAAAAAGUUACUUGAUAUUACGACGACGUACCGCAUGUGUCCUGUAACAAAAGAUUGCCCCGUACAUUGCGAAUGCUUCCAGGACUUCGAAGGGGUUUUAGUAAAUUGUUCUCGAAAAGACAUGAGAGAUAUGCCUGAAAUUCUUAUCGAAAAUGCUACUGUUGUGGAUCUUACGCAUAACAAAAUUUCAAAUGUUGAUCCACUGUUGUGUAGGAAUGUCACACAUUUAUACUUAAGCGACAAUUCCUUAACUUCUAUCGAUAACUUACCACCGACUCUCACUUAUCUUUCCUUAAACAGAAAUCAAUUAACUCGAUUGCCUUCGUCCUUGAUGUAUCGGAUUGAUAAAUGGAAUGAGUUAAAAAUUUUGUUAGCUGGAAACAACUGGAGCUGUGGUUGUGAUUCUCUGUUUACCAAGGAUUGGUUAAUUAGAAACAAACACAAAAUACUGGACUUCGCUAAUGUUUCUUGCAUGAGUGGUUCCGAUUUAUCCAGCUUUGUCCAAGUUAUAUCAACGGAUAAAUGCAAGGAGGAAGUGAUUUAUUUUGCAUCAUGGAAAACUGCACUCGUGUGUAUUAGUUUGAUUGUCUUUGUACUCGUAUUAUUAAUUGUUUUAAUUGUUAAUGUCCGUCGUUUGAAAAGAACUAUUAACAAUUCGGAAAAUGAAUCAAACAAUGCCGUGGCUAUAUACUUUAUAAACGGGCAAGAAGAAAAUGUAGAAGUAAGAUGAGCACUGGCGGGUCUACUAUGAAACUAAUGAAACUAAAGCUUCGUGGUUCCUAAUCUCGGAGGUGCCCAAAGUGAGUUUACUUCUGGGUGUUGCCCUAUUAUUGCUGAUUGCAAAGGAGUUCCAUAACAGUCUAUCAAAAAUGUAGGUCCGCCAAUGAAGACGAGAGAAUUUUUCUUCAACUAAAAUGAACAUGAAAAAUGUUUUGUAGUGUUUGGCAUAUUGUGUCAUAACUUAUGAUAGUGGCAUAACUAAAGUCACUUUGGAUUGCCUGGUUGAUGUGUCAGGAAGCGGGAGUGUACAGCAUGUAUGACGUUUGUAACAAGUACUAAAUUAAGUUUUAUAUAAUUGUAUAGGCUUACAAGUGUCCAAAAUUCAUAAAGAAAAUAUAGCACUAGAAACACGAAAUAUGUAACAGCAGGGCCGCCAGAGAGAGUCCUGCUGUUAUAUGUUUCGUGAAGGGACGGCAAAAGCAGCAAAUUGUCCUAAGUCUUAAAGAAAUUAGGGGGUCCUUAUACAAUGGUUUUGUUUUCUUUUAUUGCUACAGAACCCCAAAUAUGCAUUUUGCUCCGACCCCUCGUUACCCUCUGGAUGACUUUGUAUAACUGUGAUGAUAAAAGUAUUCGUUCGAUAAAGUAAUGGUUUUCACAGUGACUCGAAUUAUUAAUACCUAAGAUCAUAUUUAUGAAUUGUGCGUUACGAAGUAAAUUGUGUAAAUCAUUUCCCUUGAAUGUGUGUACAAUUUUACAAGAAGUGAUUAUAUUUAACCUGUCUGGCAAUAAUGGGAGUAUUGCCUUCUUUAGCGGCUUUAAUACACCUGACAUAGUUCUAUUCCAAAUGAAACGUUAUGCCAUUACAUCUCUUAUACAGUGUAUUAAAAAUGUAUCUAUGAUAGUUACAAUAAAAAUGAAUUCACCAAGAGAUAUUUCGUAUAGGCAGCUAUGAAUGCCCUCUUUCAAUGAAAAUUGGAGCUAAACAACAUACCAACUUAUUUAAAUUUUUGAAUUAUAAAAAAGAUUAUAUGAAGAACUUAUUUAUUUUACUUUAACGCCAUCUGGAAAACAAGAAAACCGUUGAACACUGGUAGUUGAUCAUUGGUUCGUGCCUGACCAAGGGGCUGGCUACCAUGCAGUGUUCUGGGUUUUUUUCGGGUGUGUAACACCUGAACAGAAUCCAGUUUCCACAUAGGAAGUCCUGCUAGAAGUUAUCAGAUCACCCAAGUGUUCCAUUGCCUUACUCCAUCAAUACAUUGAUACCAAAUCUUAAUGCUGACAUUUUAAUGUUUUGUGAAUAAGAUUACAUUUCACCUUUGUAUGUAUGGAAACUUUUGGGACACCCUGUAGUAUUUAAUAUAUAAUUUUUGUUUUAAAUAGUAUAAACACUUAAUAUGUACUUGUACCCGGAAUUGAAUUUUCACCUAUGGUGGUUCUUUUAUGAAAUCGCGUACAGAUUGUUAGUAGUCAUCAAAUUGGUAUUUAUAUUUUUUUAUAUUAUAAAAUUAUAAUGAGAAAAGAUGUAGGUAUGGCACUGAAGAGGGACUGAGAAAUUACCUGCAGGAAACGCAUACAUAGAAGAGAAAAUUGAAUAAUGAAUUGUACGUAGUUAAAUCACUGGAUUUGUUGUAUGGUAUACUAUACCCGAUAUAAAAGGAUUAUAGAGUAAAAACUAAUAAGAGUACAGCUACCCUAUAAUUAAGGAUAUAGUCUUUAAUAAUAAAUGUAAAAUUUAAUGCUUAACGUUCAUAACUCUAUAUAUAAAUUGUUUUUUCUGACAGCUCAAGGAUCCGUGCUAAAGUAUUUUGAGUUCAAAGAGUCCACGGCUGAUAAACGUUAUACAUUAGUUAAGUUUCCAGUAAUACUGUAACAUUCAACAACAAAACCCAUCGACUAAAGAUUUGAUAAUGAUUUAUUUUUAUUUUCCCGGCUAUUACAUAUAACAGAAGGAAUGUAUGGUCUUCUUCAAUAAAAAAAAUCCGCACUGUUUUUACGUUUUUCGACUCUGGACCUUGAAACAUUGAAAAUGCAAAAAGGAGCAUUUCCCAUAAAAGUUCUCCCUUAAGGCAUUCCGUUUAGCAGACCGCACACUCGCCGCAUUGCUGCUGUAUACAAACACAACAAAACAAUACAAAGUGUCAGUCAUCUAUCUAACACCUUUCGGGCAAAAAUUUUAAAUUGAAAUAACGUAACUUCCGGUUUGCAUUGGUUUCAUAUAUAUUUAAUCGGGGCAUCGUGCCCUUAAGGUUUCUACGUCUGGGCACCAUCCAUCCUCCUUAAAGUGGGCCUGGCCGAAGCCAUAACGGGCUGGGUGAAAAGACCUUUUUAGUGCCCACGGAAAGAAAGUUUUAAAAAGUCUGAUAUAAUGUUAUAUUAUAAUUUCCGAAAAUCAUUUUGGACUUGAGAAAUAAUUAAUAUAUUAAAUAAAUUAAAUAUUGUUGUCGGUUUUUAUUUUAUAGAUUAUCGUCUGCUAAUAUUUUAUGUUCUUUUCAGGUUCGCGCAAUACUACCACCAGAGGGAUACUUGUAGUCUGAUGGAUGUUGUUUGAUUAGAGGUGUUGGUUGGAUUAUGAUGGUUUAUUAACCUGUAAUUUAAAAUAUCGAAGCAAAAAUGCCAAAUUUGACAGAUGAGAGCCUUAUCAGCAUUAAAAAUGAACUGGAUUGGAUGGAGAAUGAUA